ensembl:lincRNA
ACUGUUGCAUCACUCUUACAACUACCCUUCUUGCAAUCCCCUUGCCUUUACAUUUCAGAGGUGCUUGGAAUGCUGAUGGAGUUGAAUCAGCAAGAGGGCCUGACUGAGAAGGCAGAGGAUUUCUGACUCCACAGUUGGCCCUGCCGAGUUGGAGGUGCCCUUCCUGCCUCAACAUCCACCAACUAACUACCGGAGAGCUUUGGGCUGGGGCCCAUCAAGCUUCCCAUCUACACAUUCAGCAC